rnacentral:lncRNA from 1 species
AAUAGACUUUAAGAUUUACAUUCUUUAUACAAUAAUUCAGAAUGCCCAAUAGGACUACGGGAAUGUCCAUUCUAAAAGAACGAACGAAAAUAAAAAAAAUAAACAAAAGACAAUAUACUGAGCAUUCUAGGACUACCUUCACUAGCUUUUGAAGGGAGUCUGGGUGGUGAACUAUUCACAACCCUCUUGUUGAUCUAGAUUUGGGUGUUGGUCUCCUUGAUCUGAAAUAGUUAAUGAAAGGGUGAGCUACACUAACCCAGUAAGAAUAUCACACUUCUCAUCGAUACAGAAACUGAAAGUUAG